rnacentral:antisense_RNA from 1 species
CUUCAUGGCGAGCUGUACGGGCAGUCUUCGGGCUGGCCGGUUUUCUCUUUUUAUCCGGUAUUGCUACCCCGUACAGCCCGCCGCCCUU